GGCCGGUUGGCGUAAUGGCAACGCGUCAGUUUCCGGUUAAUACACCAGAUCUACUGAAGACUGUGGGUUCGAGUCCCAUACUGGUCG